rnacentral:rRNA from 1 species
AGUGAACGCUGGCGGUAGGCCUAACACAUGCAAGUCGAACGGCAGCACAGUAAGAGCUUGCUCUUACGGGUGGCGAGUGGCGGACGGGUGAGGAAUACAUCGGAAUCUACUUUUUCGUGGGGGAUAACGUAGGGAAACUUACGCUAAUACCGCAUACGACCUACGGGUGAAAGCAGGGGAUCUUCGGACCUUGCGCGAUUGAAUGAGCCGAUGUCGGAUUAGCUAGUUGGCGGGGUAAAGGCCCACCAAGGCGACGAUCCGUAGCUGGUCUGAGAGGAUGAUCACCCACACUGGAACUGAGACACGGCCCAGCCUCCUAGGGGAGGCAGCAGUGGGGAAUUUUGGACAAUGGGCGCAACCCUGAUCCGGCCAUACCGGGGGGGUGAAGAAGGCCUUCGGGUUGUAAAGCCCUUUUGUUGGGAAAGAAAAGCAGCAGGUUAAUCCCCCGCUUUUCUGACGGUACCCAAAAAAUAAGCCCCGGCUACCUUCGU